UACGUAGGGUGCAAGCGUUAAUCGGAAUUACUGGGCGUAAAGCGUGCGCAGGCGGCUAUGCAAGACAGAUGUGAAAUCCCCGGGCUCAACCUGGGAACUGCAUUUGUGACUGCAUGGCUAGAGUACGGUAGAGGGGGAUGGAAUUCCGCGUGUAGCAGUGAAAUGCGUAGAUAUGCGGAGGAACACCGAUGGCGAAGGCAAUCCCCUGGACCUGUACUGACGCUCAUGCACGAAAGCGUGGGGAGCAAAUAGG
rnacentral:rRNA from 1 species